GACGAACGCUGGCGGCGUGCUUAACACAUGCAAGUCGAACGGAAAGGCCCUGCUUUUGUGGGGUGCUCGAGUGGCGAACGGGUGAGUAACACGUGAGUAACCUGCCCUUGACUUUGGGAUAACUUCAGGAAACUGGGGCUAAUACCGGAUAGGAGCUCCUGCUGCAUGGUGGGGGUUGGAAAGCUUCGGCGGUUGGGGAUGGACUCGCGGCUUAUCAGCUUGUUGGUGGGGUAGUGGCUUACCAAGGCUUUGACGGGUAGCCGGCCUGAGAGGGUGACCGGCCACAUUGGGACUGAGAUACGGCCCAGACUCCUACGGGAGGCAACAGUGGAGAAUAUUGCACAAUGGGCGGAAGCCUGAUGCAGCCACGCCGCGUGCGGAAUGACGGCCUUCGGGUUGUAAACCGCUUUCGCCUGUGACGAAGCGUGAGUGACGGUAAUGGGUAAAGAAGCACCGGCUAACUACGUG
rnacentral:rRNA from 1 species